rnacentral:pre_miRNA from 1 species
GCUGGGAAGAGGAAGAAAGAGUCUCUAUGAGCAUCAGGAAUAGGAUCAUCGAGGAAGUCUAGAGCUUGAUUUCUCCUCCAGUAUUGGAGGUUGAAUUUUGCUUUAUGUUUUCCUGAUGCCUCCUAUUCCUAUAGAUCUUAGGUACUCCUUCCUCUUUUUUCUGGCU